AUGUUUAAUCCUCAGCAGGAUGCUUGGCAUAUAGUCCUUGCUCUGCAGUUUCCAAUAGAAAAAUCCUUGAGUCUCCAUCCAGGAGAGGUGGCCAGAAAGGACUACUUUCAUAGUUGGGCCAUCCUGCAAGCACUGUUUUCAAGAGGCUGAAAUUCAGAAAUCUGGAGCCAAGGAAGGAGGUAGGAGAUGAGGGUGUGAGGUAAACUCAGGGAAUAAUUCUGAAGUGACAUAAAGUAAGAAUUGAGGCAAUUUCCACUUGAAGUCACCUUUCCACUCACUAGGCAUUAACCAUCUGGAACCAAAUGCAGCUAAUUUAGCAUCAUGUUGGAAAGUUUAUGACAUGAAGCACAUUUUAGGGCCAGGACAUCCAGGUUUUAAUCCUUUGUAUUCAGUAAAUGCCUCUCUUUUGGAAUUCAGUCUGCUGUCAGUACAUAGGAACUAAGAAUAGCGCCAGCUUGUGAGUCACCAUUCUUUGCUUUCUUCCAGAACACCGUGGGAAAAGGAUGGGCAGACUAGUUCAGAUAAAACCCAGUCCCACCCAAAUACUCACUGAA
rnacentral:lncRNA from 1 species